ACGAUGGAUUUCUUGGAUCUCGUCGCCGCGAAGAAGAGCGCCG
rnacentral:rRNA from 14 species